rnacentral:rRNA from 1 species
GACGAACGCUAGCGACGUGCCUAAGGUAUGCAAGUCGAGCGGACCCGCAAGGGUUAGCGGCGAACGGUUGAGUAACACGUAGACAACCUGCCUCGAAGUGGGGACGAACAGCGGGAACGUAGCUGCUAAUAACCGCCAUGUGGCCGUUCCGACGCCUGUCGGGAGUGGCUAAAGGAAGUAAUUCGCUUCGAGAUGGGUCGUGCGGCCU